GGGUGGGGGGUUCCAGGCGAGCCCACCCUAGCAAAGGUGGUGAGGGGGGCCCAGGAAGUGGCCCUGGUGGGAGAGGGCUGGAGCAGGGUGGCUCUGAGGCAGGAGAGCCCAGGCAGGGAAGAGUGGAGCAAGUCCCAGGAAAAGCCCUGCCGGCUCCUGCAGGCACCACCCAACUCGGUUUUAACUGUAUGUCACCCUUAGCCCUGACCCCCCUUUUCUCCCCACAGGAGCCUGGCUCCCCGCAGACGUGUGACACGCAGACCAGUAAGUGCUGCAUUUCUGGGUUCUCGUGCACCUCCCAGGAGGGUGGCUUGGUAUCCUAGGGUCUGAGUGGGGGGUUUAAUUGGGGCCUCCUGACCUGGAGCCCAUCUCCGUUCAGCGGGUCCAGGUAGCCGGAGCCUGGCAGUGGCUGCAGGCCCCCAGGGCCUGGCUUCUGGCUUCUGUCCAGAGAAAACAGUCCCAAAGUCAAACCAGAUGGGCCCUCUUCCUGCUGGCACACGGCUCUCCUCAGGUGGGGAGAGGGAGAGCGGCGGGCAUCCCUGAGGGAACCAGAUCCCAUCGGCUGGACCACCCUUGGGCAGGAAGGCUGUCCCUCACCUGCAGCUGGGGUGAGAAGAUGUGGGUGCCUUUUAAUCCCAGCCCCAAGCCAGGACUGGGCAACAGAGAUUGAGGUCCCUCUGGGUGUGCUGGGGCAGAAUCUGCUCUUGCUUUGCUUCCUGGCCUCUGGCCAUGCAGCCAUUCACUCAUUCACUAAGUAAGUGAUGGUGGACAGCCCGCUACCGGCCGGGCCUUUGGGCAGCAACAGCCCCUUUCUGUCCUGGACAUGGGCUCUCUGACCCUAGGUCAGGCUCUCCCAGGGACACUUCCGCUGUGCUGUAAUGCUGUGUCCAACCCCAGGGUGAGCUCUCUGAAGCUGGGGGUGACCACUGUGGCUUGGGACACAGACAAAUGGCUGACUGCAGGGCUUGGGUCUGGUGGAUGAGCCAUGGGAGGUGUUAGGGGUCAUGGUGGCCAUGACAGCAACCCAAGGAGCAGCAGAGCCCACCGGCCUCUGGGCAGGACGGGCCCAGUCUCUCAUGGAGCUCACGGUCUCCCUGAGCAUGAAGUGAAGGGACCUCUGUGGCUGUCGGGGCAGGUGGGGGACAAGAGCUUGGAGAACUCAAGACAGCUGCCCAGGGUCACAGAGCAAAUAUGGUGGGAGUAGUAACUGGACUCUGGCUUGACAGCAGCUGCUCAGUCAGGCAAAGUUAAAGGGACCCACACUGUCGCCUGGGGCGCUGGAGCCUGGGCCCCCUCUUGUCUUCCUCUCGCUCCUCUGGAAGGACUCAGGAUUCUCAGCCCACUGUAGGCAGGGCCUCCUACAGUCCCUGGAGUGGGCAGGAAGCACCAGGCCUAACAAUGGGGACAGACACAUGCAGGGGCCUGGAGCCUGGGCAGGUCCUCCUCCUGGGGCUGCCAUAACAAACAACAGAUAAUUACAAUCCAGGGGGCUUAAGGCAGCAGAAAGGUUUUCUCCCACAGUUCGAAAGCCAGAAGUCCAGAAUCAAGGCAUUGCAGGGUGGGUUUCUUCUGAGGCUCUGAGACAGACAUUGUCCCCUCCUCUUCCUGGCCUCAGGGGCUGCAGGCCACACCUGGGCUCCUUGGCUUCCAGCUGACCCCCCGACCCUGCGUGAGUGUCCACGUGGACUCGCUCUGUGUCAAUGCGUGUCAGACGUCCUUCCGCUUUCCUUUGCAAGGAUGUCAGGUACUGGAUUUAGGGGCCUCCCUAAAUCCAGGAUGAUCGCCUCUUGAGAUCCUUAAUCAGGUCUGCAGAGACCCUGUUUCCCAAUAAGGUCACAUUCACAGGUAAUAGGAUUAGAACUUGAACUUAUCAUUUUGGGGGGACACUAGGAGCCCUCUACAUGGGGAAGGAGCUUCCUCUCCUCCCUGCUCUGUCCCCAGCUUUCCCUUCCAUCCGUCCGACCGUCCGCCCGUCCGUCUGUGCCCUCUGUCUGCCCCCAGCUGCCUGCCCUACUGACUCCUCCUUUGUUUCAGGGGUGGCGGCUGGAGGCCUCUGAGACAAGGGAGAAGGGGAUCUGGGAGAGCACAGAUGGACAGACGGAUGGAUGGAUGGAAGGGAAGAAGGACACCCCGAAGAGAAGACGUUCAGGGGGUGGAGGGCGGGAGGUGGCCAUCGACCCUUCCCCACCGGGUCAGUGAGCCGCUGGCCCUCCCCCACGCUCCCAGGCAGGGCAAGGAGAGCCAGAGGCGGCCCCACCAGCUCCCCAGCCACCUCCUCUCAGGACACCUGGCAAGGGAGCGGGACCCAGGCCAACACAAGGGGAAGGUCGGCCAGGGGCAGCCUGAGAGAUUCAGGCUAGACAGCAGGGGGACUUCCUCAGUGGGAGGCGAUGGAAAGUACCUCUGAGAAGACCCUUGCACAGCCCCGUGUGGCACUGGCUCUGUCUGAACCCCCUGGGACACACUUUUCUCAGAAGUGGUUUCCUAAGGUCUGGCCACUUUGUCUCUCUGGACCGGCCGGGGGACAGUGACAUUGAAAUCAACAUUAAACAUGCCUGACGAACACCUCAACCCUGUGGUGGCUGAUGUUA
rnacentral:lncRNA from 1 species